CCUCAGAGGACAGCUGGUCUGCAGAAUUAGAAGUGAAUCAAGGCAGAGGGCAGUCUGCCUGCAGCUUCAAAGAAAGCAUCCAGACUCAGAUGGGCAGGAUCUCAGCAUCAGACUGUCCAAACAGGCUCCAGCUUCAACAGCAGACUGAGACAGACAACAAAAGAAAACAGCAGCUUCCGAGGGCUCCACAGGUCAAAGGUGACGUUUCAAGGGGUCUUCAGAGAGAGGUACUGAUGACGUGUCGAUCACAGUGAUUAUGAAGAUGACAGCGAAAGCAACUACGACUGUAAAAGUCUGACCACGACUGUUUUGCUGCUUCCUGAUUAUUAAUGAAUGUUCUGAUAAUGUUUGUAUCUUUUGUCAUUAAUUCUUUUGCCGUCAUUUGUUACAAACAAAAUUCACCAAACUCAGUUUGUGUUAUUUAAUUUUUACAGGCCACACUCACUGGACAUAAGAAAACACUCAUUUUAAUCACUGAUAACUCAGUGACUUUAUAAAACUUUUAGUAGUCCAGCCUUUGACUAUUAACACUUACCAUAUUGUACCUGUACAGCAUGGUUUUGUACAUGUAUGAGAUUUUUUUUUUUAUGUUGAAGUCAUUUCCUGAUUUAUUUUGUAAUCUUUGUUGGUUUUCUCUUCUUUGGAACUGAUUGUGAGUCAGUGUGUAACCUCACCUGCUUCCUUUUGUUCCACAUGACUUGAAGUUCCACAUGAAUUUCUGUUUAUUUAAAUUUCUGUUUCAUUUUGAUCUGUGUUGUGUGACCCUUGCAGACUGUUUUGUGGACUGCUUGCCUCGCUGUGUGUAACCACUGCCUGUUUUUGACUAAAGAUUUGGAUUUUUGACUUUUACCCCGUCUCUGUGUGUCCUUUGAGUCCUCUUCCUCUGAGU